rnacentral:lncRNA from 1 species
AACUAUUUAGAUUAGCUUUUGGCUGUUUCUUGUUAAUUAUUUCUUAAUUCUUUAAUUAGAUUGGGACACAGUGUGGAGUAGUGAACAGAGUGAUGGGCUAGGGCUCAAGGAGACCGAGGUUCAAAUCCUUGUCUGGCCAUGGAAACUCAUGGGCGGGGAUGGAACUGGUAACAACCACUCUGCAAAUAUUCAGCAGCAAAAUUAGAGACAGAAGUGUGGGUGUGUGAGAAAUCAUGGGAUGUGGGUCCUUCUGUAACAGUAGCAAAACCAUGUGUGUCUGUGUACACAUGUGCACAUACAUAUGCACGGGAGCAUGAGUGGUGCAAACAAGGUGGACUUCCUGCACUACCUUCUGAGCAAAUAUUAUACAUACAACAGACAUACAGACAUUCAUGCUGCGCCAAUAAGUCCUGGCACCAGUUAGGAGUUGGGGGAACCUGGGUGUCCACACAUUAAAGCCACCACAGACAAUAAAGUCAGACUUUUUUGUCCUGCAGUGCCACCCAUUAUGAUAUUUGCCUCCUCAUCUGGAGACGCAGAGAAACCUAGCAAUUCCCUGAGAUAUAAGUCAAUGCCCUGAGACGUUGGCAACCCUGUCUUACAUAUGUCCCAUUCCUAGGAAUCUAAAAUUUGAAAAAGGAAGGAAGGAAGGAAGGAAAAGAAAAGAAAAGAAAAGAAAGAAAGAAAGAAAGAGAGAAAGAAAGAAAGAAAGAAAGAGAGAAAGAAAGAAAGAAAGAAAGAGAGAAAGAAAGAAAGAAAGAAAGAGAGAAAGAAAGAAAGAAAGAAAGAGAGAAAGAAAGAAAGAAAGAAAGAGAGAAAGAAAGAAAGAAAGAAAGAGAGAAAGAAAGAAAGAAAGAAAGAAAGGGCUCCCAUUCAUCCCCUGGAAUCAUGUCAUCCAAUCAACUAAAUUCAUAAACAAAACUGAACAGAAAGGAUACAGGAUCCAUCAAGUAAGAUGACAUUCUAAAGUUAUCAUGAGAUGAUGUACAUGCUGCUAACAAAUUUACUCAUAAGCACAAAGAACCAACUGGAUUAUUGGACUUCCAGCUGUCCAUGCCCAUAUCUGUGUAACUUCCAUGCAGGUAAAAAUUGUUCAUUGGUACUGCCAUUUCUGAACAUAAGAGAGGCUCCCUGCUGAAGAAUGGAUAGUUUAGAUAAAAUAAAUCAAUUUCAGUCUGAAUGUGGUUUACUCGA